UAGGGAAUAUUAGUAAUGGGCGAAAGCCUGAACUAGCAACGCCGCGUGUGCGAAGAAGGCCUUCGGGUUGUAAAGCACUCUUUGAGAGGAUGAGGAAGGACGGUACUCUCAGAAUAAGUCUCGGCUAACUACGUGCCAGCAGCCGCGGUAACACGUAGGAGGCGAACGUUAUCCGGAUUUACUGGGCGUAAAGCGCGUGUAGGUGGUUUGGUAAGUAGGGCGUGAAAGCUCCUGGCUAAACUGGGAGAGGCCGUUCUAAACUGCCGAACUAGAGGAUGGUAGGGGGAGGUGGAAUUCCGGGUGUAGCUGUGGAAUGCGCAGAUAUCCGGAGGAACACCAGUGGCGAAAGCGGCCUCCUGGACCAUUCCUGACACUCAGACGCGAAAGCUAGGGUAGCAAACGG
rnacentral:rRNA from 1 species